rnacentral:rRNA from 1 species
CAGUCGCCACGGUAAUACGGAGGGUGCAAGCGUUAAUCGGAAUUACUGGGCGUAAAGCGCACGCAGGCGGUUUGUUAAGUCAGAUGUGAAAUCCCCGAGCUUAACUUGGGAACUGCAUUUGAAACUGGCAAGCUAGAGUCUUGUAGAGGGGGGUAGAAUUCCAGGUGUAGCGGUGAAAUGCGUAGAGAUCUGGGGGAAUACCGGUGGCGAAGGCGGCCCCCUGGACAAAGACUGACGCUCAGGUGCGAAAGCGUGGGGAGCAAACAGGAUUAGAUACCCCGGUAGUCCCUGUCUCUUAUAC